AACAUCUAGAAGCUGAUAGAGCCUGGUCCUUCUGCUUAACACAGAAGACAGACUGCCUUGGGAACCUGACGGGAAUCACCAUCUCUUCCAGUGGAUCUACACUUGCCCAGAAAGGAACUCAUUAGGGAUGUGCCACUUAGAAUGAUUUCAGAUUGAGCAAACGAAAUCCAAUUCAAACAGAUCUUAGUAACAGGAAACUCAAUUCAAACAUAAAGACUUUUUAAAUGUGAGGUGGGCACAACUCUAAACCUUUUUCUCUACAGUUUCCUCAACUGCGCCCACUGUUCCCACCCUGGCAUCAGCUUCAUUUUCAGACUGGGAGUAAGGUAGCUACAGUAGUUUCGGGUCUCACAUCUCCAGGUAGAUCUAGGAGAAAGACAAGACCAUUUUAAAAUUUAGGACACUUAUUUCCCAGAAGCUCCGUGUGACAGACUUUUUCUACUUGCCUUACUCUGAGUCAUAUAGCCUUUCUAGGAACAAAUUCUAUGGCCAGAAAUGUGUUAUAUGUUGAUAGGCUGAGGCCUUAGUUCCUUAACCAAUCACUGACAAGAGAGCUAAUAAUUCCCCUUUAAUAAAUCAGGUCCAUUUCUGGAGCAGGGUGAGUUCAGUUUCCUCAGAGUAUAUUGUGUACAGAAAGAAAAGUGAGUAUCUCUACAAAAAUCUGGGUACACUAGGAAUGAGUAGUCAGAUUUCCAUUACUGUGACAAAAUACCCAAGAUAAACAACUUAAAAGGAAGAAAGAUAAAUUUUCCAAGGUUUCAGUUAUUGGGAGGCCUGUGGCAAGGCAGUACAUCAUAGUGGGAGUGCAUGGUGGAACAAAGUUGUUCACCUUAUGGUGACUAAGAAACAAAAAGAGGGAAGAAGGGACCAGGGCCUUAAUAUUCCUUCCAAAAGCACACUACCUGUGACCCAUCUUACUUUCACUAGGCCCCACCUCCAAAAGGUCCACCACUUCCCAGUAACACCACAGGCUGGGGACCAAUCCUUUAGCUUAUGAGAUUCCAGAGGAUAUUCACAGUCCAAACCAUAACAGUAGUCACUCAAAGAUAUCUCCUACAGGAAGUCUGUGAAAGAAACCACAACCUUAAGGAAUGGUGCUGAGGGAGUCCAGUGUAUUUGGAAACAAGAACUACUUGUAUAGAUAUUUUUCAAUGGUAUACAGGAGAACAAACACCAUGUGUGACAGUGGCAGAGAUUGUAAUUAAGCUGCAAUAAAACAGGAGACACUGAGAAGGAAACAGAAGCUGAAAAAAGCGAGGAAGAGUCCUCCCUGAGAAGCUUCAGAAGGAGCGUGACCCUGCCAACACCUUGAUUCCACACUUCUAGCUUCCAGAACUGUGAAAGAA
rnacentral:lncRNA from 1 species